rnacentral:rRNA from 1 species
UACGAAGGGGGCUAGCGUUGCUCGGAAUCACUGGGCGUAAAGCGCGUGUAGGCGGUUGCCCAAGUCGGGUGUGAAAGCCUUGAGCUCAACUCAAGAAAUGCACUCGGUACUGGGUGACUAGAGGACCGGAGAGGAUAGUGGAAUUCCCAGUGUAGUGGUGAAAUACGUAGAGAUUGGGAAGAACACCAGUGGCGAAGGCGGCUAUCUGGACGGUUUCUGACGCUAAGACGCGAAAGCGUGGGGAGCAAACAGG